CCUACGGGGGGCAGCAGUAGGGAAUCUUCCACAAUGGACGAAAGUCUGAUGGAGCAACGCCGCGUGUGUGAUGAAGGGUUUCGGCUCGUAAAACACUGUUAUAAGAGAAGAACGUCAGUGAGAGUAACUGUUCAUUGAGUGACGGUAUCUUAUCAGAAAGGGACGGCUAAAUACGUGCCAGCAGCCGCGGUAAUACGUAUGUCCCAAGCGUUAUCCGGAUUUAUUGGGCGUAAAGCGAGCGCAGGCGGUUAUUUAAGUCU
rnacentral:rRNA from 1 species